rnacentral:rRNA from 1 species
UACGUAGGGGGCAAGCGUUGUCCGGAAUCACUGGGCGUAAAGGGCGCGUAGGCGGCCGGCCAAGUCGGGGGUGAAAGCCUGUGGCUCAACCACAGAAUGGCCCUCGAUACUGGACGGCUCGAGACCGGAAGAGGUUGGUGGAAUUGCGAGUGUAGGGGUGAAAUUCGUAGAUAUUCGCAAGAACACCGGUGGCGAAGGCGGCCAACUGGUCCGGAUCUGACGCUGAGGCGCGAAAGCGUGGGGAGCAAACAGG